UGCACCCCACAUUUUCUUAAUCCUUAAGGAAGAGUCACGUCUCCAGCAUCUUGAAGACUUUAUAUACACCUCCUAGCAACAUGUUUAGUCUUACAAAUUAUCCCCAAUUGACCACCGAUUGAAAGAGAAAGCAAAAAGGAAAAGAGAGAAGCAGAAACAAGGAGCUGAAAUUGAAUUUCUGGAUAGGUGAUUUUCCGACGUUGAGUGAAAAAGGAAAGUGAUAUAAUCUCUAUAGGAGCUUGUGCACACACAAGGGCAAAAAGGUGAGCAUGGAACUAUGUAGAGGGCACGACUAGCUAUGGAGCUCUUACGGGAUUCCAAAGAUCAAUGUACAUGGAUGACGACCUGUAAGGUUAUUUUGUGGGCUAUUGUUUUGAGCUUACACUCUAUUGUGUCGUAUUUUGGGGGUCCUGUCUUGUAUAACUUUUGAAAUGGCCUAUAGAUGUGUUUAUAACCUUAGAACAUACGUGUUGGAUUAUGGUUAUAUGAUCGUUGAUUUUGAUAUAAUAUAUGAUCAUCACAGGUGAUUUGAAGUUAA